AGCGUCUGAGCGUGAGCGAGAGUGCGAGUGUGUGUGUUUCUGCCCACAAACCAGUCCAUUGGUGUCUGAUUUCAGAUCCUGAGUCGACUCCCUGAUUGCUGCGUAUCCCAGUGUCGGCGAUGGAUAAACAGGUCUCGUCUCUUCCCAGUUGCAGCCCGUGAGCUGGUGGCACAACGGAUUAAUGAGGCAACAGGGCUCUAGAUGGUGAGUGGGAUCAAUGAGACCCAAUUGAGCUGUUAGCGGUCUUAGGCGGAGAGCAUCUCUCAGGAGGAAAGGAAGGCACAGCGAGAAGACCUAAGGCCGAAAGUCGCUGUGCAGCACCCACCCAAGGCUGGACUCGGGGGAGGUAGACGGGACGGUGUCUGUGACUAAACGGUUCCCACACCUUACACGCCGCACCGGGAUUAUGUUUUGAAAGGUGUCUUAUAAAAUCAAGACCGGUUCCUAACAACCUGCAAGUGCCAGUGAAUCCCGAAAUGUUUGUUUGAGGAGAGGGAGUGUGAGGGAAGGAGCAGAAAAAAGAAAGAGGGGGAGGAUUGCCCAGUAGAAUUUCAAUAGAAAAUGUGACUACCAGAAUGGUUUCUGAAUCUAGGAUCUGCUCAGGCACAGGCGGAAAAGAACAGCUGUUAAAGAACUAAAUAUUAUAGAAAUAAUCGGAAAAUCGUGCUCAAUUAUGUUUGAGGGUUAGUAGUCAAAUGAUGGCUACAAAUUUUUUUAUGUUUCAUGGCUUACUGGGAUUGGGAAAAAAAAUCUGCGUGGGGUCUGAGCACCUCCGUUCCAAGCUACGAUGCAUAUGUUUUUUAAAUGUGAAUGUUUCCACUUGAAAACUAGAGCAUGACGGAUUAAAAUGCAGGCAAAACCUAAGGGAGAUUUUUAGAAUGCACAGAUGACAACUCCAGGAAAUAUAUUAACCCCAGCCACGGGCCAACUUUGUACUCAGUUUGAAAUGCAGCUCUUCUUGGAAAAUGCUUAAUACAACAGUGAGAAUCUAAUGGAGGUUGGAAUCUAAAAAUCCACUUUCAUGAUAUCUGCUGUUACAGUAAUAUAGACAUACUGUAAAUGUAUUUUAAAAUAUAUAGCCCGUUUAAUUCCCCAGCUAUAAAUGACUGAGAAAUAGAAAAAAGAGGGAGAGAAAGAGAGAAUAUUACUUUUUCCCCCCUUGAAGCAAAUGCUUUAUGAAGAUCUCAUUGGAAUCCAGCAAAUGAUUAAUGUGAAGAUUUUGGAGGAAAUCUGGGGAGCUGUAUUAAAGCCUAGAUCUCAGGUUCAUUUCGAUCAGCCAGCCGUGAACUCUGGGCCGAAUUCAUUACAGUUUAAUAGUGCUGGGAGAGGAAGAAAAUGCAAUUUCUCAUUCCAUUAGAAAACUAGAAAAUACUCUCAGUUUGUCCCCCUAUUAAGAUGUGGCAGGUGACAGGGCCAUUCUGGGGGACACGGUCAAUGGAAUUACAGCACACUAUUUUUGUUCAUAUAAAAUAUUGAAAGGCAAGCCUGACUGUGCAGAAGUUAUUUUACUGAUUUGGUUUUUAUGUAAAUAAAAUAUUGAAAGUUAAUUAAUCCAUGCUAGAGACUAAUGAUUAUGCUUAUUAUAUUGCAUUUGAUCACAUAAUUUGCAUGAUUCUCACAUUGCUGCUUAAUAAGCCAUUCCAGGUUAUAAAUAAUUCUGAAAUUGGUUUCUAAUAAUGGCAUGCUAUAAAAGGAAUGGUUUUAUUACACUGGCCAGAAAAGAGGAGCUAUAUCAGACAUGGAAUUGGCCUCCAUGUGAGUAGAGAUGCUUUAAUAAAUACUUAAAAGUGUGAUAUAUACCAAAUAAAGAUAAAAAAUAAGUAUAUUGGAUAAUUUAGUCUAGAAUCAAAAAGCAUCUUUAAAAAUAUACAAUUGCAAUGAAUUAAAUGUUUAGAUAAUUUUUAAUCAGCGCAGUGGCCCACAUACUGAAAAGAAUGUGUGGCAGUCUGUUAACUAUAAAGAAAACUAUGAAGUAUUGAUCAUAUAAGAACAUAAGCCAAUUACUAUUUAAUUUGAAUUUGGUCAAGGAGCAAUGGUACAGUGAAUUGUGAAGUAAAUACAUUUUCCAUAAAUUAUUUUUGCAUUACAUUACAUAAUGUUAAUCAUUUUGAAAAGUUAAUUAAGAAGGUUAUGUUGAUCUGAUUACUUUUUAAACUAUGGAACAUUAUUUUUAAAAAUAUUGAAAUUGCCAUUCUAUUAAAUUGUGUCUAUCAGCAGGCUCAAGCUAUUAUCUUUGCUUGAACAUUAUGCUGGAACAAUUAGAGUACUUUGUCUCUUUCUUCUUGUGCAUUCUUUUGUGUACUUUUUGAAAAUAACUAUUUCUGUUACAUAGCUUAUAUUUUAUUUCAUUUACAACUUUUUCUGUUAAAAGAAUAACUGUCAUUAACCUUUGGAAGACCUAAUAAAGUUUAAUAGACCUCG
rnacentral:lncRNA from 1 species